AUGACGAAUGGACGACGUAUGAAGAUCUUCACUACCUUCUUCUUUCUUAAUUCUCUGUUUGUGAUUCUCGUUCUGGACAUUGAACUAUUGCGAUAAUUGGAGUUCGAUCAUCCUAAAGGAUUUUUAUGAGCUCUUAGAAGAAGCUAUAGGGAUGGCGUGUCUAUAAACUCUGGUGGUGAAAAGCCUUCAACUUUGCGUGUUUGAUUUGAGGAGAGGCCAAAACGAAGGACGGGAGCUCGACAAGGAAGGUCUUGUUCUUCUAUCCUCCCGAUGUAACUUUCUCAACUCAGUGAAGGGCUUAUUACAUUCACGAGAUAGUAGAGAAAAAAUAAGGAGAUUGAAGCCAGCCAUAUGGAGGAUUGAUGCAUUGCAUGCACAAGGAAGUUCAUUCCCUCUUUGUUAUGUUUCACGGAUCAAUUAGGUCAUCAUUGCUGGAUAAAGAACCAACUGGAGUGCUUAUCCGAUCACAUUUGUAUCCAUUCAUCACAGACUCUUUAAAAUGGUACUGCAGCGGAGCAUUCUCCAUGGUUUAAAAAUUCUACUUUUUAAUAAAGUUCUUUUCAGAUGUUUAGGUUUUUUCUAUUACAAAGUUGAAAAGAUUGAUCAUGUUGUCUAUCUACACUUGGUCGUAGAACUUGACCCUUGACGGUUUCAAAAGGUCAAAAACAAACUUCGAAUCCAAAUUAAUUAUCAUUAGAUCCAAAUUCACGAAAGCU